rnacentral:rRNA from 1 species
ACGUAGGAUCCAAGCGUUGUCCGGAUUUACUGGGUGUAAAGGGUGCGUAGGCGGACUUGUGCGUUAGAGGUUAAAUCCUUCGGCUCAACCGAAGAACUGCCUUUAAUACGGCGAGUCUUGAGUGCGAGAGAGGAUAGUAGAAUUCCUGGUGUAGCGGUGAAAUGCGUAGAUAUCAGGAGGAAUACCAGUGGCGAAGGCGGCUAUCUGGCUCGUAACUGACGCUGAGGCACGAAAGCGUGGGGAGCAAACAG